CCCCUUUGCUCGGGACGAACGACCCUUUUCGAGGGGUGUGACGGUACCGAGUGAGGAAGCACCGGCUAACUCCGUGCCAGCAGCCGCGGUAAUACGGAGGGUGCGAGCGUUGUCCGGAAUCACUGGGCGUAAAGGGCGCGUAGGUGGUUGGAUGCGCCGGUGGUGAAAGCGCAGGGCUCAACCCUGCGUCGGCCAUCGGGACGGUCCGACUGGAGCACUGUAGAGGCAGGUGGAAUUCCGGGUGUAGCGGUGGAAUGCGUAGAGAUCCGGAAGAACACCGGUGGCGAAGGCGGCCUGCUGGGCAGUUGCUGACACUGAGGCGCGACAGCGUGGGGAGCAAACAGGAUUAGAUACCCUGGUAGUCCACGCCGUAAACGAUGGGCACUAGGUGCUUGGGGGAGCGAACCCCUGAGUGCCACGCUAACGCAUUAAGUGCCCCGCCUGGGGAGUACGAACGCAAGGUUGAAACUCAAA
rnacentral:rRNA from 1 species